rnacentral:rRNA from 1 species
UACGGAGGGGGCGAGCGUUAUUCGGAAUUAUUGGGCGUAAAGGGCGCGUAGGCGGCUUGAUAAGUCAAAGGUGAAAUCCCUCGGCUCAACUGAGGAACUGCCUUUGAAACUGUCAGACUUGAGGCCGGGAGGGGGUAGCGGAAUUCCCAGUGUGGCGGUGAAAUGCGUAGAUACUGGGAGGAACACCGGUGGCGAAGGCGGCUACCUGGACCGGUUCUGACGCUGAUGCGCGAAAGCGUGGGUAGCAAACAGG